rnacentral:rRNA from 1 species
AUGCAGCGGACGUGGAAUCCGUGGUGGCACCGAGGGAGCACGCGCACCUUCUCGCCGUCGGCGAACUCGCCGAGGCAGAUGGCGCACUCCGUGGCCGUGGCCGGGAGGGCGCAACCGGACGACUUGGCCCCGCCGUACACCUCCACGGGUAUCUUCCUCAGCGCCUUCCUCUUGAGCCCCGCCUGCACGUGA